CCCUUAGAUGUUCUGGGCCGCACGCGUGCUACACUGAGUAAUUCAAUGGGUAAGGGAACGCUAGAGCAUUACCUAAUCUUGAAAUUUGCUCGUGAUGGGGAUCGACGGUUGCAAUUUUCCGUCGUGAACGAGGAAUACCUUGUAGGCGCAUGUCAUCAUCAUGCGCCGAAUACGUCCCUGCCCCUUGUACACACCGCCCGUCGCUCCUACCGAUUGAGUGAUCCGGUGAGGCUCUGGGACCUGGACGGAAAGAGCGUUUCGCUUGUUCUGUUUGGGAAACUUGGUCGAACCUUAUCAUUUAGAGGAAGGAGAAGUCGUAACA
rnacentral:rRNA from 1 species